UCCUUCUCUCCUCCGAAAUGCAUCAAAAUAUAUUACAAUUAUUUUACUUUCUCAAUUUUUUGUGGAUGCUUCCGUUAAAUUUAAAUUUAAUUUCACCUUAAAAAAAGCUAAUUAUUUUAUUCAAGUCUCUAAAACGAUUCAGAAAACCACCGCAAACUCGCUUUUAUCUAUUUCAUCUAAAUUUAUUUCUGGCUGUUUGGAAAAUUAGAAUUAGGCUGAGAAAUCUGCGGACUCAUCGAGGUACACAGGGUGACUUUUUUGACGACUAAGUUAAAGGUUGACUCCUCUUUACUCUGAAGUCCUAUGCAAAGGUUGGCCAAGGUGUCCCAUCGCCAGAAAAGCUCGAAGGCCCAGAUGGGGUCUAUAAAUGGAUAAUGCGACGAAAUAAUCCAAGCCGAGUUGAUGAAGGUUUAAUAAACUUAAUAAUAAAAAAAUAUCGGCAGUAAGUAUACGUUGAUCCGUCUAUGUUGAGAUAUUUCUCGUCUAUGAGAUCAUUUUCAUAU